rnacentral:rRNA from 1 species
CCUACGGGCGGCAGCAGUGGGGAAUAUUGCACAAUGGGGGAAACCCUGAUGCAGCGACGCCGCGUGAGUGAAGAAGUAAUUCGUUAUGUAAAGCUCUAUCAGCAGGGAAGAAAAUGACGGUACCUGUGUAAGAAGCCCCGGCUAACUACGUGCCAGCAGCCGCGGUAAUACGUAGGGGGCAAGCGUUAGCCGGAUUUACUGGGUGUAAAGGGAGCGUAGACGGCAGUGCAAGUCUGGAGUGAAAGGUGGGGGCUCAACCCCCGGACUGCUCUGGAAACUGUACGGCUGGAGUGCAGGAGAGGUAAGUGGAAUUCCUAGUGUAGCGGUGAAAUGCGUAGAUAUUAGGAGGAACACCAGUGGCGAAGGCGGCUUACUGGACUGUAACUGACGUUGAGGCUCGAAAGCGUGGGGAGCAAACAGGAUUAGAUACCCCUGUAGUC